rnacentral:rRNA from 1 species
UACGGAGGGUGCAAGCGUUAAUCGGAAUUACUGGGCGUAAAGGGCGCGUAGGUGGUAUCUUAAGUUGGGUGUGAAAGCCCCGGGCUCAACCUGGGAAUUGCAUCCAAAACUGGGGUACUAGAGUAUGGUAGAGGGUAGCGGAAUUUCUGGUGUAGCGGUGAAAUGCGUAGAUAUCAGAAGGAACAUCAAUGGCGAAGGCAGCUACCUGGGCCAAUACUGACGCUGAGGCGCGAAAGCAUGGGGAGCAAACGGG